rnacentral:tRNA from 1 species
UCCUUGGUGGUCCAGAGGUUAAGACUCAGCACUUUCAAUGCAGGGGGUUUGGGUCUGAUUCCUGGUCAAGGAA